rfam:Erinaceus europaeus unplaced genomic scaffold scaffold00391, whole genome shotgun sequence
GGAUGUGAGGGUGAUCUGUCACCCCAUUGAUAGCCAGGGUUGAUUCGGCUAAUCUGGCUGGCUAGUCGGGUGUCCCCUUCCACCCUCACCGCUCCAUCUGCUUCCCUCCUGAAGCUGCGCACUGGGUCAAAGAGGACAGCCUUCCCCAAAUAGAGACAGACCAGUUGAGGACAUACGAGUAGCUGUGCUUCCCUGCUAGAACCUCCAAACAAUCUCUCAAGAAAAUUUGUUCUUUUCCUUCUGAGAGCUGUGAUCUUUCUUCUCACAGGAAGAUAAGUGUAGGUAGGUCACCUUAAUAGUAUCAAGACUUGAUUUUUGAAAUUUGU